rnacentral:lncRNA from 1 species
UGGCUCCAGGCGGUUUCCCAGACUACACUCCAGGGUGUUCCUAGUCAUUUUCACAUUAGCAGUUGUUCUGGUAUGGCUUGGCUGCGCCUCUGUGGGCCAUUUAACCUUCACCAUUGUCCCAGCCUGUUCCGGGGCCGGGCUGGACUUGCAGGCUGCAUGUUAAAGGCUGAGAGAAGCCAGAACUCCCUGUCAGCCUGAGGUCUCCCACUGGGUGUUUCCAUGGCUUUGCCAAGACAGGUUUUGUUGUUGCUAAUUGUUACUUCACCUUCCGUGCAUCUUCUGAGGAAGAUUCAAGGUGGAAAGCACCUGAAGCUGAAUCCAGGCCUGGAGAAGAACUCACUCCCCCCAACCCCCUUUCCUUUUUAAGUCUCUUCUGAGCCCAAAGAUCUUAUGUACACAUCUUGGAGUCUUAGAAGUCAGCCCUGUCUCCAUGGAGGGCUUCCCUGGAGGGGGUAGAAUGUUGUGUGUUAGUUUCCUGUGCCCAAAUAAAUAAACCCUGUCCUAAGCCAUAGGCUCCAGGUUUGCUUCUGGCGUCCCUUUGCCUCAGAGUUUCUGUGUUGAAUAAAACAGAAAUGUUUAGCAAAUCCCAAGAAAUUCCUUAUUUAAUGGAAAAAAGAGAUCCCUGAGUUUAUAUUUCAAAAUGUGAUUUCCAUGUUCCCAUUGCAUUAAGGCAAGUUUGACUCACCAAAUCCCCAGAUGUCUGGUAGCCUUUUUUAAAUGCCUGGGUUUAGCCCCUAGAACCCAUUUCGAGUACCUGUUGUGGACAGGAUUCUCCUCGGAGCCGUGUAGGAGGUAGAUUCCCCCAGUGAACCUCUUACCCACCCCGUAAUUUAGUUGUAAAGGUUGCAUUAGCAUCUAUAGGAAGUUUCAGCUCUAGCCAGUAGGCCAGCUUUAUGCCUGCAUGUUGAUCUUUCAUACUGUGUGAUAUAACCUUUGUGUGGCCAUCUGUCCUCUUUCCUGACGAAGGCAGGUUCAGCCCUGGGACUGGCCACAGUUUAUCUCACUAGCCAACCUGACAUCUAGCAACUGCCUUGGCGGUUUCUCUAAGAGUUGUUAUUUUCUUCCCUCCAGCCUCUUUGAUGAUUGGGGGUUUUUUUCAUUUGCCUCUUGUUUCUGCCAGCCCUCCUAAAAUGUUCGCCUUUUUACCUAAAAGUAAUUUCUAUUCAUUGUUGAAAGAGAAAGAGAGAUAGAAACAGAACGAGCGUACAGAGAGGAAUUUAGAAAAACAAAGUAAAGAAAAUAGAAUCCCACCACAGCAAACUUAGGGCUGUUAAUGUUUUGGAUUUGCAAAAGUAUGUUUGCCUGCGGUUGUGUACCCUUAAUUCUUUCAAGGUUGGGGGAUAAUUAUAUGAUAUGAUGAGCCAUUUUCCUCUAUCAUUAAAUAGUCUUCAAAACCUUAUCUGUAGGUAGCACAUGAUAUUCAAUUGUAUGGGCAAAGCCAUCAUCUUAACGAUUUCCUUUGUGCUGGACUUGUAGGUGGUUUCUACCUUUUUAGUUCAAACUCACCUUUAAGGUAGUAGCUGUAGCAUGGUAGCCACUUAUAGAGGGUGUAGCUCGUGUCUGGCACUGUGCUGGGUCUGGGGAUAUGGAAGGAAAAGGCACCUGUUUGCCCCCAGGAAGAGGGCUGGCCAGCACCGUUGCCAGGCGUUACAUCAUGCCUCCUAACAUGAUGCUUAAUAUUAGACUCCCCUUGAUGCAUAACAGAGUCUGAAAGGGCUUGCUGAGUCAUCCAAUAACUGUCCUAUUCAGUAUCAUCUCAGAGUUAUGUGUAUUUCAUUAUUUUCUACGUCUGAAACAUGGUUUGAGGGGUGGGGAUGGAGGUGGAAAGAAAGUGCCCCAAGAGAAACUGACCCUUCAGCUACUUCUUGAAGGAUAAAAUAACACAGAAGAAGGAAGAAAGGUUAGGGGUACAGGGGACGGAGAGUGGAGAUGGGGCAGACAGUGCCAAGAAAGGGAGCUGGGCAGGGGUGAGUAUGUGCCAGGGCUUUGUUCUGGCCUGAAUUUAGGAUGCCAGUGUCUGCCUGACAGGGGCUGCCCCUGGAGAGCUCUGCAAGGGACACAUGCUAAGAGGUCUUUGAUGCCUCCCCAGGGAGACACACUUCAACCAAAGACUUGGCGAGCCAGCCUCUAAGGGUUACAAAUAGAGGCCUGAGCUCAACAGAUGUGCACAUCCAGAAAAGUCAUGGUGGCAUCUGUAGGGGGCAUAGGAGGCAUGGGAGUUUCUGGGGAGAGGUACCAGGUGAUGACUCUGAGCCUCCUGGCACAGGAAUUGUGACUUUUGUGUAUUACUGCCCGGCAUACAUUAGGUGCUCGUGAGUUCCCUUCAUGGCACAGUGGAAAUGGAUCCGACUAGGAACCAUGAGGUUGCAGGUUCGAUCCCUGGCCUCGCUCAGUGAGUUAAGGAUCUGGCGUUGUCAUGAGCUGUGGUGUAUGUCGCAGAUGCAGCUCAGGUCUGGCAUUGCUAUGGCUCUGGCGUAGGCCGGCAGCUGUAGCUCUGAUUCCACCCCUAGCCUGGGACCCUCCAUAUGCCACGAGUGCGGCCCU